rnacentral:lncRNA from 1 species
AUGAGACUGUACUACGAGGCCGCAUGCCUUUGUUGGAUAAAAGAGUGGAUAAAGUUGGAGGAUACAGAGCUAUUAGAUCUGGAAGGGUAUAAGAAUAAAUUUGGGUGGCAUGCGUACUUGUGGAGGGAUAAGAUAAGAGUGCAUAAGGGAUUUUGCAGCCAUAUCUUUAAGGGACCUUUGAUAGAAGUUUGGAAUAGAUACAAGAACAUACUAGAACCAAAAACCCCACACUGGUUAUCCCCAGUGGAGCUGAUAAGUGUAAAGAAAGUUAAUAUGGGGAAAAAAUGGGGCAGGUAUGAAGAAAUGGUAUUGAAGGAAGGAGGGAAGUGGAAAGUAAAAUCAUACGAUCAGGUAAAAAUAUAUACAUACGAUUGGCUGAGCUACUUUCAGAUAAAUGAAAUAUUUAAAAAAGAGGUGAAAGAGAGGGGCUAUGAAGAAAAGGCAUCGAAAUUUCAGAGAGAGAUAAUAAAUAAUGAUCGGAAAAAUCUGUCAAAUAUGUACAAAAUAUUGUUAGAAUGGAACAUGAAAGAUGAGAAAGUUAAAACGGUGAUGACUCAGUGGGCAAAGGACCUCGGCUAUGACAUUCAAUUAGAGAAUUGGGAAAAAUUGUGGAGAGUGAAUAUAAAAUUUACAGCAUGUGUGUUACAAAGGGAAAAUAUGUUUAAAAUGUUAUAUAGAUGGUAUAUAACACCCGUAAAACUAGCUAAGAUGUAUAAAACAGACAACAAAUGUUGGAAAUGCAGACAGAAAGAAGGGACGUUCUAUCACUUAUGGUGGGAAUGCGGGAAGGUUAAAAGCUUCUGGGAUGAAGUUUAUAAUGAAAUCAAAAAGAUAUUAAGCUAUACCUUCGUAAAGAAGCCCGAAGCUUUUUUAUUAGGCAUGGUGGGAAAAGAUAUCAAAAGAAAGGAUUGUAAAAUCUUCCAGUAUGCGGUAACAGCAGCCAGAAUCGUGGUAGCGCAGAAGUGUAAGCAGGAAGAAGGCCCAACGAUAGCAGAGUGGAGAUUAAAACUGACGGAAUAUGCGGAGUUAGACAAAUUAACAGGGAAAAUUAGAUAUAUUAAGGAUCAAAAAUUUAUAGAUGACUGGGGAAAAUUUGCGGACUAUCUGGAGAACAAAUGUUUAGUAAAUACAACGCUAGUAGGUUUUAAAGAGGCACUGUAA